AAGCAACCCAGAGCCCUCCUCCCGCCUGCUCUGUGUAGGAGACAGCCUGCGGAGCCCACUGCCGGCGCGCAGAGAGCCCAGCAGCUCUUGAGUCCAGGAAGCAAGGGUGGGAGGAGGGACGAGCCAGUGGCAAUGACCCAGACCCGGACGACCCCCAUUGCUGAGCCAGCGGAGCUGCUUGCAGGCAAGAAGAAUCUGUUGGAUGAUUACAACAUUGCUGGAUUGAUAGCAGCCUCACCUGCCAGGCUCAAACUCCAGAUCCAAAGUCCACAAAUAUAUCAUAAAUCUGAAGAGGAACUGGGAGAAGCUUCUGCUGGCAGCUCAUGCCAUUGUUGCCAUUGAAAACCCUGCUGAUGUGUCAUAUCCUGCAGGAAUACUAGCUAGUGGGCUGUGCUGAAGUUUGCUGCUGCUGCUGGAGCCACAUGUAUUGCUGGUCACUUCACUUCUGGAACCUUUGCUAACCAGAUCCAAUCAUCUUCUGCCACCCACAUCUUCUGGUGGUUACUGAUUCUAGGGCUAACUAUCAGCCUCUCUCAGGGGCUUCUUAUGGUAACCUACCUACCUACCACUGCUGUAUGUAACAGAUUCUCCUCUGAGCUAUGUGGAUAUUGUCAUCCCAUGCAACAACAAGGAAGCUCAAUCACUGAGUCUAAUGUAGUGGAUGCUGGCCCAGGAAGCUCUGUGCAUGUGUUGCACCAUCUCCCAUGAUCAUGCCUGAUCUCUACUUCUAUAGAGAUCCUGAAGAGAUUGAAAAGGAAGAGUAGGCUGCAGCUGAAAAAGGAGGAAUUUCAAAGUGAAUGGACUGCUGUAGUGCAAGUUUACUGCUACUCAAUCUGAGGUUGCAGACUGGUUUAAAGACAUGCAGGUGCCCUCUGUGCCUAUUCAGCAGUUCCCUACUGAAGAUUGGAGCACUUAGCCUACCAUGAAUGACUGGUCUGCAACUUCCACUGCUCAGACCACUGAAUGGGUAAGAAUAACCACUGAGUGGCCUUAAGCUGUUCUUCCACAAGCUCUUAAACAAGAUGGAAAUAACGCUGAUGGAAAUAAACAACAGUUUCCAAGAAAACACGAACAGCUGAAGUGGCAAUGUUUAAGUAACAUCUGGUAGACUUUAACAUGAAUGUUAUUAAGCAGGAAAUUAUGAUCUUUUAAGUUGGAACAUGUAAUGUUAAUCCUUUUGCACCAAAAUAUCUCUUUAAGUCUAAAUUAUCCACUUUUUUUUUUAAUUCUUCGUAGAGAUAGAGGUUUCGCUUUGUUGCCCAGGCUGUUCUUGACUUCCUAACUUCAAGCAAUCCUUCUGCCUCAGCCUCCCAGAGUGCUGGGAUUAUAGGCAUUUGCCACCGUGCCUGGUGUACCCAGUUUCUGUUAUCAACAGAAUGCAGUGGUGUAUGGUUGCUAAAGGGUCCCAAGAUCAGGACCUACGUUAAGGUGGAUUUUGAAUUAUUUAAAAUUCUGAUUUUGUUUUAUUUUUAAUUAAUCUUUGGGGGAAGGAUGGGAGGGGGGUGAGGGUUGAAGAAGUAAACAUUGUACCUAUUGGAUACAAUGUUUAAUAUUUGUGUGAUGGGCACACUGGAAGCCCAAACCUCACUAUUACACAAUACAUUCAUGUAACAAGCCUGCACAUGCACCUCCUGAAUCUAUUUUUAAAAAUUUAAUUCUCUAGCACAGACUCCCUUUUUUUGGUAAGAUGGCGGGGUACGACUUAACUACUCGCAUCACGCACCUUUUGGAUCGGCAUCUAGUCUUUCCGCUCCUUGAGUUUCUCUCUGUAAAGGAGAUAUAUAAAGAAAAGGAAUUAUUACAAGGUAAAUUGGACCUUCUUAGUGAUGCCAACAUGGUAGACUUUGCUAUGGAUGCAUACAAAAACCUUUAUUCUGAUGAUAUUCCUCAUGCUUUGAAAGAGAAUAGAACCACAGUUGUUGCACAACUGAAACAGCUUCAGGCAGAAACAGAACUAAUUGUGAAAAUGUUUGAAGAUCCAGAAACGACAAGGCAAAUGCGGUCAACCAGGGAUGGUAGGAUGCUCUUUGACUACCUGGCGGACAAGCAUGGUUUUAGGCAGGAGUAUUUAGAUACAUUCUACACAUAUGCAAAAUUCCAGUAUGAAUGUGGGAAUUACUCAGGAGCAGCAGAAUAUCUUUAUUUUUUCAGAGUGUUGGUUCCAGCAACAGACAGAAAUGCUGUAAGUUCACUCUGGGGAAAGCUGGCCUCUGAAAUCUUAAAGCAGAAUUGGGAUGCAGACAUGGAAGACCUUACAUGGUUAAAAGAGACCAUAGAUAAUAAUUCUGUGAGUUCUCCACUCCAGUCUCUUCAGCAGAGAGCAUGGCUCGUUCACUGGUCUCUGUUUUCUUCAAUCACCCCAAAGGUUGUGAUAAUAUUGUUGAUCUCUUCCUUUACCAGCCACAGCAUCUUAAUGUGUCCACACAUUCUUCACUAUUUGACUACAGCAGUCAUAGCAAACAAGGAUGUUCGAAAACGUUGGCAGGUGCUAAAAGAUCUAGGUAAAGUUACUCAACAGGAGUCUUACACAUAUAAAGACCCAAUUACAGAAUUUGUUGAAUGCUUAUAGAUUAACUUUGACUUAGAUGGGGCUAAGAAAAAGCUGAGAGAAUGUGAAUCAGUGCUUGUGAACGACUUCUUGGUGGCUUGUCUUAAGGAUUUCAUUGACAAUGCCCAUCUCUUCAUAUUUGAGACUUUCUGUCACAUCCACCAGUGUAUCAGCAUUAACAUGUUGGCAGACAAAUUGAACAUGACUCCAGAUGAAACUGAAAGGUGGAUUGUAAAUGUGAUUAGAAAUGCAAGACUGGAUGCCAAGAUUGAUUCUAAAUUAGGUCAUGUGGUUAUGGUAACAAUGUACUCUCACCCUAUCAGCAAGUGAUUGAAAAGACCAAAAGCCUUUCUUUUAGAAGCUAGAUUUUGGCCAUGAAUAUUGAGAAGAAACUUAAUGACAAUAGCAGGUCAGAGGCUCCUAACUGGGCAACUCAAGAUUCUGGCUUCUACUGAAGAAACAUAAGGAAAAGAUUUUAAAAAAACUCUAAAAGAAAGAUGAAAUAAUAAAACUAUUAUAUAAAGGGUGACUUACAUUUUGGAAACAACAUAUUGAGUGUAAAUUGUGAAGAAUUGGAAUAAAAUUGACUGAUUCAAAAAAAUUUAAUUCACAAAAAAAUUUUAAUCCUUUUAAGCUAAUUAUAGAUUCACAUGUAGUUGUAAGAAGUUACAAAGAGGCUAGGUGCAGUAGCUGACGCCCAUGAUCCCCGCACUUUGGGAGGCCGAGGCAGGCAGAUCUCUUGAGGCCAGGAGUUUGAGACUAGCCUGGCCAACAUGGCAAAACCCCAUCUCUACAAAAAAUUAGCAAAGCAUGGUGGCACAUGCCUGUAAUUACAGCUACUUGGGAGGCUGAGGCAUGAGAAUCACUUGACCUGGGAUUACAAGUGUAAUCCCAGCCAUAGGCUGGGUGCAGUGGCUCACACCUGUAAUCCCAGCACUUUGGGAGGCCAAGGUACGGGUGGAUCACCUGAGGUCAAGAGUUCAAGACCAGCCUGGCCAACAUGGUGAAACCCCGUCUCUACAAAAACACAAAAAUUAGCCGGGCAUGAUGGUGCGCACCUGUAAUCCCAGCUACUCAGGAGGCUGAGGCAGGAGAAUCGCAUGAACCCAGGAGGCAGAUGUUGCAGUGAGCCAAGAUCACGCCAUUGCACUCCAGCCUGGGCAACAGAGUGAGACUCCACCUCAAAAAAAAAAAAACAAAAAAAAACCACCAGCCAUUUGGGAAGCCAAGGCAGGAUUGCUUGAGACCAACCAGAAGUUCAAGGUUGCCUGGGCAACAGAGCAAGACUGUCUCGAGACAAAACAAAAAGUCAGCAUCUUCUGCCCACUUUUACUUUAACAUACAUUUAUGGAUCUAUUGUCUCUUUCCCUGUUCUAAAACUUUAAAUUUCACAAGAAUGAAGAUUUUGCUGUCUUGUUUCCUGCUGUGUCCCCAGCAUAAACAGCAUAAAGAAGUGCCAUAAGAUAGAAAUUUUUGUUUUCUGUUCACCAGUAUAUCCACAGCACCUAGAACAGCAUCUGCUUUAGACUUAUUAGAUGAAGACUUAAAAAAAAAAGGAACAGCACUUCUGCACAUAUUUAGCACUUGAUACAUAUUUGUGGAAUAAUUUCUAUCAUAACUAGCAGCUACUUCCUAAUUUGAUAUGUAGCAUCCCGUAUUAACAGGACUUUUGUGAAUGGAGAGGACAUCUAUUUAUUCUUUGUUAUGUGCCAAAUAUAUUUGUAUUAAUCAUAACUCUUAAUAUUCCUUUAAAAUUAAAUAAUUGUUUCCACAGCUCUUAAAAUAGAAUUUAGGAACCUAGCAACAUGCCACUCAUCCAUUAACAGUGAUAAAUUAUUUAAUUUUAUAAACUUUUCAUUAAAGUAACUGAUAUAGUUUGGA
rnacentral:lncRNA from 1 species